AAUAUUGGACAAUGGGGGGAACCCUGAUCCAGCCAUGCCGCGUGUGUGAAGAAGGUCUUCGGAUGGUAAAGCACUUUAAGUUGGGAGGAAGAGUUGUAGGCUAAUACCUUGCAAUUUUGACGUUACGAACAGAAUAAGCACCGGCUAACUUCGUGCAAGCCGCCGCGGUAAUACGAAGGGUGCAAGCGUUAAUCGGAAUUACUGGGCGUAAAGCGAGCGUAGGUGGUUCAGUAAGAUGGAAGUGAAAUCCCCGGGCUUAACCUGGGAACUGCUUUCAAAACUGACGAGCUAGAGUACGGUAGAGGGUAGUGGAAUUUCCUGUGUAGCGGUGAAAUGCGUAGAUAUAGGAAGGAACAUCAGUGGCGAAGGCGACUACCUGGACUGAUACUGACACUGAGGUGCGAAAGCGUGGGGAGCAAACAGG
rnacentral:rRNA from 1 species